rnacentral:rRNA from 1 species
GCCUGAGAAACGGCUACCACAUCCAAGGAAGGCAGCAGGCACGCAAAUUACCCAAUCUCAGCUCUGGGAGGUAGUGACGAAAAAUAACAAUGCGGGACUCUUCCGAGUCUACGUAAUUGGAAUGAGCACACUUUAAAUCCUUUUAGCAACAACCAAUUGGAGGGCAAGUCUGGUGCCAGCAGCCGCGGUAAUUCCAGCUCCAAUAGCGUAUAUUAAAGUUGUUGCGUUUAAAAAGCUCGUAGUUCGAGUUCAGUUCCGGACUGGCCGGGGAGGUCACCGCCCGGUGCUUCCCCGUCAGGCUCCGAACAGCUUUCAUGACUGAAAGCCAAGCCGGUUUCGCCGGGGUGCUCUUCACCGAGUGUCCCGCGCGGCCGGCCAGUUUACCUUGAAUAAAUCAGAGUGCUCAAAGCAGGCUACUCUUAAAAAUAAAGCCCGAAUGUUACCUGCAUGGAAUGAUGGAAGAUGAUCUCGGUUCCAUUUUGUCGGUUCUGGGAAUCCGAGUUAAUGAUAAACAGGGACUGUCGGGGGCAUCCGUACUACGACGCGAGAGGUGAAAUUCAGUGACCGUCGUAGGACGAACAACAGCGAAAGCAUUUGCCAAGAAUGUCUUCGUUGAUCAAGAACGAAAGUUAGAGGAUCGAAGGCGAUCAGAUACCGCCCUAGUUCUAACCCUAAACGAUGCUGACUAGCAAUCCGCCGUCGUUAUUCCCAUGACGUGGCGGGACGCCCCCGGGAAACCUCAAGUCUUUGAGUUCCGGGGGUAGUAUGGUUGCAAAACUGAAACUUAAAGGAAUUGACGGAAGGGCACCACCAGGAGUGGAGCCUGCGGCUUAAUUUGACUCAACACGGGGAACCUCACCAGGCCCGGACACCAGAAGGAUUGACAGAUUAAGAGCUCUUUCUCGAUUUGGUGGGUGGUGGUGCAUGGCCGUUCUUAGUUGGGGGAGUGAUUUGUCUGGUUAAU